GACGAACGCUGGCGGUGUGCUUAAUACAUGCAAGUCGAACGAUAAGGCCCUUCGGGUACGAUAAGUGGCGGACGGGUGAGUAAUACGUAGGUAAUCUGCCUUAAGGAAGAGGAUAACACUGGGAAACUGGUGCUAAUACUCUAUAUGUCAUAACCUGUAAUGGUUAUGAUGAAAGUACCAACGCCUUAAGAUGAGCCUGCGGCUGAUUAGCUUGUUGGUGGGGUAAUGGCCUACCAAGGCGACGAUCAGUAGCUGGUCUGAGAGGAUGAUCAGCCACAAUGGGACUGAGACACGGCCCAUACUCCUACGGGUGGCUG
rnacentral:rRNA from 1 species